UACAGAGGCCUCGAGCGUUAGGCGGAAUCACUGGGCUUAAAGCGUGUGUAGGCGGACUUCUAAGUACCUUGUGAAAUCCCACGGCUCACCCGUGGAACUGCUUGGUAUACUGGUCGUCUUGAGCCUUCUAGGGGCGAGUGGAACAGAUGGUGGAGCGGUGAAAUGCGUAGAGAUCGGAAAGAACACCAACGGCGAAAGCACUCUGCUGGGCCGACACUGACACUGAGAGACGAAAGCUAGGGGAGCGAAUGGG
rnacentral:rRNA from 1 species